AUUGAACGCUGGCGGCAGGCCUAACACAUGCAAGUCGAGCGGAUGAAGGGAGCUUGCUCCUGGAUUCAGCGGCGGACGGGUGAGUAAUGCCUAGGAAUCUGCCUGGUAGUGGGGGAUAACGUCCGGAAACGGGCGCUAAUACCGCAUACGUCCUGAGGGAGAAAGUGGGGGAUCUUCGGACCUCACGCUAUCAGAUGAGCCUAGGUCGGAUUAGCUAGUUGGUGGGGUAAAGGCCUACCAAGGCGACGAUCCGUAACUGGUCUGAGAGGAUGAUCAGUCACACUGGAACUGAGACACGGUCCAGACUCCUACGGGAGGCAGCAGUGGGGAAUAUUGGACAAUGGGCGAAAUCCUGAUCCAGCCAUGCCGCGUGUGUGAAGAAGGUCUUCGGAUUUUAAAGCACUUUAAGUUGGGAGGAAGGGCAGUAAGUUAAUACCUUGCUGUUUUGACGUUACCAACAGAAUAAGCACCGGCUAACUUCGUG
rnacentral:rRNA from 1 species